UACGGAGGGUGCGAGCGUUGUCCGGAAUCACUGGGCGUAAAGGGCGCGUAGGCGGCUUGUCACGCGUGCGGUGAAAGUCCGGGGCUCAACCCUGGGUCGGCCGUGCGGACGGGCAGGCUUGAGCACAGUAGAGGCGGGUGGAAUUCCGGGUGUAGCGGUGGAAUGCGUAGAGAUCCGGAAGAACACCAGUGGCGAAGGCGGCCCGCUGGGCUGUGGCUGACGCUGAGGCGCGACAGCGUGGGGAGCAACAGG
rnacentral:rRNA from 1 species